GCGAGCUAAGACUUGACUUGCAGGCUGGCGUAUUGGAAUAUCCUUAAAUAACUCCAUAUUACUUCCUCCUUCACUUGUCAUCUUCCCUGUAAUUGUAAAGACUGCUCUUCGGAGUUACUCUUUUUAUUGUAGUGAAACGAUAUCGUAGUCUUCUCUUGCUAGCAAAGCUUCAUUUUUUAUUCUCCUAAAACAGAAGAAAGCAGUAAAAGCAAUUUCUUCUCUUCGCUCGCCGAUGGCAAUUGACCCAAUUCUCUUAUUGUAAUCACUGUGUGUGUAAUUUCUUGUUGAUUUGUAGGCGGGGAUUAAUGGGCUGCACGCAAUCUAACAUCGAGGAUGAAGAAACUGUAAAUCGAUGCAGGGAGCGGAAGCAGUAUAUGGAGCGGGCCGUAGCGGCCCGCAACAAGUUUGCGGCUGCCCACUCGUCCUACGCGAUGUCCUUGAAGAACAUCGGUGCCGCCCUUAGUGACUUUGCUCAUGGAGAAGUUGUAUAUCCUGCCGGCGGCAGUGGCAGUGGAGGUGGAAUUGGUACUGAUGCCACCAUUCAGCCACCAAUUCUGCCUCAUGAUAGCAUUUCUUCUUUCCCUCCUCCCUUGCCUCCGUUCAAUCCGACUCCUUCACCACUACAGCGGGCGUCUACUGUUCCUGAAUUUCGAACUGAACUAAAGCGUACGAACUCGAUAACUGAGGAGGAGAGCGAAGAGGACAUUGAAAAUGAGAGUACUCAUAAUUUGAAGCAUCGCAGCAGUAAGAGUAGCGCACGGGGUAGUAUGGGAAGGAGAGAUGGACUUUCACAUAAGGAGGUUACUGAGGAAGAGGUCUUGCAGAAGCCACCUCCGCCAAUGCUGCCAAAUGAACCUGAUCACAAGCAUCUAGCCCGUCCUCCUCCUCCUCCUCCUCCUCCUCCUUCUGCUAUGAAUAACGACAAUUCUUGGGAUUAUUUCUUGGAGCCGGAUAUGCAAAGGUCGACACUGGCUGAUGUUGAGGAUGAUCACUACCAGGGACAGGAAAUUGAGCGAAAAAUGCGAGAAGAAAGGGCUAAGAAAAGUGAAAUGGAUGGUGAAAUUGAUGGAGGGAGGAGGGUUCAGAAGGUGGAGGUGGCCGCUGAAGUGGUGGAAGGCACAGUGAAUCUUUCAAAACAGCCUCCUCCGACUCAAAAAGUAGUGGCAACAAAGCUGGCCAAGAGAGUGAAAAUGGGGGCUCCAGCAGAAGGGAUAAUGAAAGGUGGACCGAGUAAUACAAACUUAUUGCAAAUAUUUGUGGAUUUUGAUGAUUGUUUUCUCAAGGCUUGCGAGAGUGCUCAUGAUGUAUCUAGGUUGCUCGAGGCCACCCGCUUGCAUUAUCACUCAAAUUUUGCAGAUAAAAGAGGUAUAAUAUAUAUAGUUGGUGUUUAA
rnacentral:lncRNA from 1 species